GCUGCUGUUGGGAGACCCUGGUCUGCACUCUGUCUGUAUGCUUACUGAAGGGAGCGCAGGGCAGGGUUUCCCAUACAGAGGGCACAGGCAACCA
ensembl:miRNA